UGGGUUGUAGCAGUUGGUCCACCUAAUCAA
rnacentral:piRNA from 1 species